CCAAUUGCCACGGUCAACCUCUGCAGACCGCACGCAAUUGGUUUUAAAUAUUUGGUUUUUCAAAGUUGAAAAGCGCGCAGGUAAUUAUCCGGCCGUCGCCAUACAAUGCUCAAAGCAAAAGCCUCUUCUGACCUGGUCUCUCGCCCAAUCAUCAUUCUUUCGGCAACCCAACUCAACAAAUUUCAACAAAAAAAAAGCCAACGACAAUCUUUUACAGAAAAUCUCUUAUCCCUGUUAAAAAAAUGCACAUCCACGAAACUCUUACAACAAAUCCACACCCAAAUGCUCAUUAAUGCCAUCCAAAAACCAAACUUCCUUCUCUCCAAAAUCAUUGACCUCAAAAACUUAGCCUACGCUUCCCUUCUCUUCUCCCAAAUCCCGCAACCUAACGAUUACGCGUUCAAUGUCAUGAUCCGUGGCCUUACCACCACUUCGCAAAACUACUUUGCAACUCUUCAUUUCUAUUAUCAAAUGAAGUUUUUGGGCUUAAAACCAAAUAAAUUCACUUACCCAUUUUUGUUUAUUGCGUGUGCUAAUCUUUUAGAGCUGAGCCAUGGGCAGUUAGCUCAUUCUUCGGUGUUUAAACUUGGGUUGGACGUUGAUUCUCAUACUACUCACUCUUUGAUUACAAUGUAUUCCCGUUGCGGCGAACUAGGUAGUGCUCGUAAGGUGUUUGAUGAAAUAACUGAAAGAGAUUUGGUGUCGUGGAACUCGAUGAUUUCGGGAUAUUCGAAAAUGGGGUAUGCGAGCGAGGCGGUUGGGUUGUUUGGGAAGAUGAGAGAUGAAGGAUUUGUACCUGAUGAGAUGACGUUAGUCAGCGUUCUUGGGGCUUGCGGGGACUUGGGGGAUUUAAGUCUAGGGAUGUGGGUGGAGGGGUUUGUUACGAAACAUAAGAUGGAAUUGAAUUCAUUUAUUGGGUCUGCUUUGAUUGGUAUGUAUGGAAAGUGUGGGGAUUUGGUAUCGGCUAGGAGGAUCUUUGAUGGAAUACCGGAGAAGGAUGUGGUCACCUGGAAUGCUAUGAUCACUGGGUAUGCACAAAAUGGAAUGUCCGAUGAAGCAAUCAAGCUGUUUAAUGGCAUGAAGGAUGCAGGAGUUAAACCAGACAAAAUUACAUUGGUUGGAGUUCUGUCAGCAUGUGCCUCAAUUGGGGCCCUAGACUUGGGGAAAUGGAUUGAUACAUAUGCAUCACAAAGAGGCUUACAGCACAACAUCUUUGUUUCUACUGCUUUGGUUGAUAUGUAUGCUAAGUGUGGGAGCUUGGAUGAUGCAAAAAGAGUAUUUGAAAACAUGCCUGUAAAAAAUGAGGUUUCAUGGAAUGCAAUGAUCUCUGCUCUUGCUUUUCAUGGGCGAUCUCAGGAGGCUUUAUUGCUUUUUGAGCGCAUGUCAACAGAGGGUAUGGAUGCCUGCCCAAAUGAUGUUACAUUUGUAGGAGUACUUUCAGCAUGUGUGCAUGCUGGAUUGGUUGAUGUAGGCUGGCGGUAUUUUGACUUGAUGAGCUUGUCAUAUGGGUUAACACCAAAAAUUGAGCAUUACUCUUGCAUGGUUGAUCUUUUGGCACGUGCUGGUCAACUGUACGAAGCUUGGGACUUAAUUGAGAAGAUGCCUGAAAAACCAGAUGAAAUUGUACUGGGGGCACUACUUGGUGCCUGUCAGAAGUGCAAAAAUCUUGAUGUUAGUGAGAGGGUGAUGCAACUGCUGCUGCAAAUAGAGCCUUCGAAUUCUGGAAACUAUGUUAUCUCAUCAAAGAUAUAUGCAAAUUCAAGAAGGUGGGAUGACUCCGCAAAAAUGAGAGUGUUGAUGAGACAAAGGGGUGUCAAUAAGACUCCGGGUUGUAGCUGGAUCGACAUUGAAGGUCAACUUCAUGAAUUUCUUGCUGGGGAUGACUUGCUGUAUCAUCACAUUGAGAUUCAUCAAGUGUUUGAGUUGUUGAAUGUGGAGAUGAAGAGGGAAGGUUACAUUCCAAGGGUUGAUUAAUAAAUAGAGAUAUGAAAGCUCAGAAACAUGCUUUCCUCUUAAUCUUUUGAAUGCUGAAGAAACAUGCACGGAGUUUCUUUGUGGCAGGAUUCGUAAUAUGUUUUUUAUCAAUAAUUUGGACAUGAACUGUCAAAAAUUCUUCAAGUUACUUGCUUGUGCCGAGCAUGCUUCUGUAUAUGCAAACAUACCUAGGUAAAAUCUGACUUGUUUCUGGCUCCAAAAUAAUGUGCUUGGUUUGGUGUAAGAUACAAUCUCUAUAGCUGUAAUAGGCUAUGGAAACGGUUUUAUCAUUUAUCCUCUCUUGUUCAUUACAAGCAUAUCUAUUUGUCCAACAAACAGUUUUAGUUCUAGUGGACCAUUGCUUUUUGUGUUCAUACACCGUACUUGUUGACAAGGUAUGUCUAUAUGCAGUUAGGCGCUGCAUGACUUGCAUUUGCUGAUGGUAUUUUGUCUUUUCUUAAUAUUUUCUUUUACAUCACUUCUUGACAGGUUGGCUGUCAUGGUUAAUGCUAUCUCCUAAUGUGUUUCCAUUCAGAAAUUACCCGUUCUUUAAUAGCCAAGAUUGAUAAUUAUAUAAGAUGACAAAAAUGGAAGACAAAAAUUCACCCGGAAUGCGGCUUAUAUCACUUCAGACGUUGUUCUCAUGAUUUUUCUUCUUCAAGGAAUGGAUAAUUAUAUCCUGCCACUUGACAGGACAGACCACGUGGCAAUAACAAAUCCUCUAGUGAGCUGAUAAAUUCUCGCACUUCUCUAUUUAUUGAUCUCAGCAGCUGCAUCACUAUGACAACUUUAAAUGGGUAAUUUUUCAAUCCUUUUUUUUUUGUCACUUUUCUUACUCAGAUAUAAUUGCAAUAUACUUAUCAGGCUGCAGUUUGUAAAUUUAAUAUUACCAGUCUUGCUAGCUUCUAGCUUGUUAAGGUGAUUUUGAAAUGUCUUUGCGAAUUUAUGAUGUUGAUGAUUUAUGAAAGUGUAUUGUUGGAGUUGGAUACAUUAUAUUUUCUUCUAACCUGUGUUAGUGGGAUCAUUUUUUUCAUAUCUGAACUAAUCAAAUUGUUGCCUUGUUGGAAAUUUUGGCUAGGCUUUCAGGUUUGAGUCCUCGAGUCGGGGAAAAAAUAUUGAUGGUCACUAAUCCUACAUCAGUAGGACAAGGGAAUGGUUUUGGGCUAUAAAAUCAUGGGUCUUCCUUCACCUAAUAGGCAUGUCUUUUUGGGUCGGAAAUGUGGAUAGUUAACAAUAACAAGUAGUAUCAGUGGGCCCCAUGAGAGAUACCAAGGUAUGGGAAAAAAAUACUGAUGCCAUAUAUCACGAAUCUCACGUCAGUAAGACAAGGUGUGGUCUUGGGCUAUAAAAUCAUGGUUCUUUUUUCACUUUUUUCACCUAACAUUUAUGUCUUUUAGGUUGGAAAUGUGGACAUGUGAUUAGUGGUAUCCAAGCUGAUCUUCACUGAUGUGAGUCCUCAUGAGAGAUUUUCACCCAACAACUAUGUCUUUUGGGGUUGGAAAUGUGGAUGCGUGAUAAGUGGUAUCAAAGCAGAUCCAACUCUUCAUUGAUGUGAGUCCUCAUGAGAGAUAUCAAGGUUGAGAUAGGUUCGGACCAAGUGGGUCCCUCUCCUCUAAGGAGGUGUUGCACAAUUGGGUGAGAGAGAAUGUCAUAAAUCUCACAUUACCUAACAAGCAUGUCUUUUGGGGUUAAUGUGAACACAUAAUAAGUGGUAUCAGAACAGAUCUAACUCUUCACUGAUUUGAGUCCUCAUGAUAGAUAUCAAGGUUGAGAUAGGUUCAGAGCAAGUGGGUUCCUAUCCUUUAAUGGAGGUGGUGCACAAUUGAGAAAGGGAGAAUGUCACAAAUCCCACAUUAGUAAGACAAAGAGGUGGUCUUGGCUAUAAAAUUAUGGAUUUUCACGUUAAUCAUGUGUUUUGAGUUGGAAAUAUGGGCUCGUGACACACACAUACAUGCAUACUUUUCUUUCUAUGUGCAUUAAGAAUUCUAGAUACAUUAUGUAUUGCCUGUAUUUAUUGUACAAGCACUUAAUCCUAAUGGAUGGUGUU